GUUUCGUCAGAUGUGAAUAAAGAUGAGCAACAGAGCUUGCUAAUUCUGAUAAAUCAUCCGUCAGUCUUUGUUCUGCUCCUCCUAACCGAUUGUCUAAAGCUGAUACUCUAUAUACUUCAUGCUGUAAAAGUCAGACGCGUGAUUAUUUCACGUCCGGUGUAUGAACGACACGCACGAAUUGACGACCAGCUGGCAACUGUACUGGUAUCGCUUCUCUGCUUCCCUCUUCUCUCUUUCUACAAAAGUUAUUUACAAGAAACACGACUGAAUAACAAUUAGAAGAUGGCCAUUAGCACUUUUUAUGUUAAUUAUUCUACAACAGACGAUAGUAAAUUUGAUAGUUUUUUACGUAAAAAAAGUGAAGAGCAUAAAGGUUUUGCACUUGGUGGCCUUUUGCUUACAUCAACAGAGUUGUUAACUGUUAAUUAAUAAGUAUUAAAUAAUCAUAAAUUCUUUUAUGCGUAUAAUAAUAACAAUUGACUCUGCAAUACACUCUCUGUUUUAUUAUCAAAUUGUUAUGCCAAAUCAAUAUUGCAAAGAUCAUUAAGAGAGAGAAGAAUUAAGAUCCAAUAAAUUUUUCUCCUUGUCAAGAAGGCGUACGAGAUUCAGGAGAACCAAGUGGAUAUGAGGGCAAUGCUUCUAAAAUUCGUGGAGGAGGGAUUUUUUUAACAGAACUCAGAGAAGUAGAAUUAAGAGGAGAAUGAAGUGGUUUUGUGGCGUCCGGCGUCGUCCAAGCAUUGAAAGCUCCAACUGGUCUGCCAGAAUUUAACGAUUUUAGAGGUAUUUUUGUUGAGAGCUCACUAAUUGUUGGAGCACUUCCUUGCAAAUUAAGUGAGUUUAAUUGCUGAUAUCCACUUGAAGAGUCAUCAGAGCCUCCAGAUUUACUCAAUCGGCCAUUUGUUUCUAAAUCAAAAAAAUAUAUUUUUAUUAAUAUAA